AUUGAACGCUGGCGGCAGGCCUAACACAUGCAAGUCGAACGGGUGGGGGACGGGUGAGUAAGGUCUGGGAAACGGCCUGAUGGAGGGGGAUAACUACCGGAAACGGUAGCUAAUACCGCAUACCAUCGGAUGUGCCCAGAUGGGAUUAGCGAGUAGGAGGGGUAACGGCUCACCAAGGCGACGAUCCCUAGCUGGUCUGAGAGGAUGACCAGCCACACUGGAACUGAGACACGGUCCAGACUCCUACGGGAGGCAGCAGUGGGGAAUAUUGCACAAUGGGCGAAAGCCUGAUGCAGCCAUGCCGCGUGUAUGAAGAAGGUCUUCGGGUUGUAAAGUACUUUCAGUGGGGAGGCGUUACCCGCAGAAGAAGCACCGGCUAACUCUGUGCCAGCAGCCGCGGUAAUAC
rnacentral:rRNA from 1 species